rnacentral:piRNA from 1 species
UUCCAUGAGCCAUGAUGAUUCUGUCAGCA